CGGAUUUAUAGCUCAGUUGGUUAGAGCAACCGGCUCAUAACCGGUUGGUCGCAGGUUCGAGUCCUGCUAAAUCCACCA
rnacentral:tRNA from 1 species